ACGAGCGAGGUCCUAAAUACUAGUAUUGCAAGCCAGCCAGAUUCGCAGCAUAAUAUAUUUAACUGCUACUGCUGGGGGACAGCUUGAGACCGAGUUUUAUCGUUUCCUUCUGUAUCACAUGCACUGCACGGUUACUGGUUUUGAUCGGGUGUUUUAUCGUCCUCCUUACUGCCCAGUUUCCAGGGCCGCCACCACAACUCAACAAGCCGCCCAAUUGAUAGAUCAAGGAGAAUCUCAAGUCUCAUGGUAACACCAGGAACUAACUGGUGGUCCUUUUCCAACAGUUCCAAGCCUGAACGGGGCUGAAAGAGGCUGAAGGC
rnacentral:sRNA from 2 species